UAAAAUGAAUUAAUAUGUAAUUUACCUAGCACUCUCUCCAAAUUUAACAGAUCAUUUAAAACUGUGAUUGAAAUUGUAAAUAAUUUCUUCCAUUUUCUAAACUUGUUAACCCUUUCUCUUCUCCUGCAGGUGAGCUUUUGAUGAGUUAUAAAUAGUAGAUGGAAUCUUAGUUUUUGGUUACCCUUUUUAUUUUUCUAUUUUAAUAUUUUGUCUUACGUGUAUACAGUAUGGUGUAUGGCCUCAUGGAUUAACAAAUGUGUCAUUUAGAAUUUCUUUUUUUCUAUAUUAAAAAGAAACAGCAGUGAUUCGUUGCCUACAAUAAAUUUUACUUAAUGCUGGACCUGAUGAAAAAUAUUGAGGCAGAAAUAUAGCGUGCUCCAGCAGAAAUGUAACAAAAGCACUAGACUAAAGCUGUUAAAACUUUGAUUUAGCUCAUGCUUCUAAUUUUUUGUAUUUUUUGCAAAUUUGUUAUAUCACCAAAGUGUAUUCAUAUGCAUGCAAAAUCCAUGGACCAUGUUGGGAUUAUAAAUCCCACAUUAGGAAAGUAUAAAUAUGAAAGGGUAAAUAUUAGUGUUUAGAUUGUAAUCUUGACUUGACUAGUUAUUUUGAUAUGUAAAGUAACUUAAUAACUUAUAUAAGCUCAAAUU
rnacentral:misc_RNA from 1 species